UUACAGGCACAGUUCUGACGCUCGACAAUCACUCAAGUCACACUCUCAUUUACCUUUUGUAGACUGACGCCUGGGCGUCUUGUAAAGAGGCAGGCGUAAAAACGGAAUUGAAAUGUAGUGUAUGGGAUCAAAAAUAGAUUACUGAAACAAAUCGGUAGAACAUUACACAUACCCUUGCUAUGUGUCUUAUAUGCUAGGAUAUAGCCUAAUUCAUCUUAUAUGUUUGCAAGAUGUUUUCUUGUUAGAAUGUUCAACAUGUAUCAGCUGUGUCUUUGUUGUAUAGCACAACAACUCUGCUCACGCUAUUAUUUCGUCACGAUGUUGGGUUAAGAACUGAUCAUUCGAAGUUCCAAAAAGAACACACGGACUAGACCUUCUUAUGGUUAAAGAUUCACUAGGCAUUGCACUGGAGACGGCAAUAUGAUGUUCCCAUGUAAUAUCUGCUAACACACAAAUACAUAACACAAAACAUAAGCAGUCCUCCAGAUACUUCUGUUCCGAUACCGGUAAGAUGGUAGUUGGUUUCCAUUCACUCUCUGUUGAUUUACUAAAAAAAAUGACUGAAUAAACAAGCAAACAAUCUUAAAAUGCAGAUGGUCAUGUCCUGUCUGUGGAAGUUGAGUACUCCACCUAGAACACGACAAACAAGCGGGAGUGUGCUGGACAACUUGCGAUGUGUUGGCCAUUCUGCCAUCCAGCAACAGAGCGACACGACAAGGAACGGGUCUGAGACAGAGAGCAGGCUGAAAAGGAAAACGCUUGAAGCCAAUGAAUCCGGUUGCCUUUCAAGAGCCCAACAUUGAUCAGUGUGUGGGUAUCAUUCCAGUCUCAGAACAAAGCAAAGCGAGGCCAGACAAAUGCCAUAAGGUGAAGGUCAGCACCCCAGUGUUCCAGCAGCAUUAUGAGGUUAUGUUUCAAGAGGCACCAUGGAGACCACCGAAGAGUUCCCUAAACCUGAGGUAUGGCUAGGAAUAGGGGGUCUGAUGAAGCAUGCGAUUCGCUGUGCUGAAUCACCAGAUUAACCAAAACUCCUCUGCAUGACAGAAAUAUUCAUCCCUUCUGUAUUACAUGACAAUGCUGUGUCUAUAAAUGUAGUCGGUCUUCUGUGUCGAUGUUAUACCCAUCUGCAAUUGGUGAGUAGAGCCUGCUAGGGUCUUGGUGGCAUUUGUUAAGGUCAACCACAGUCAGAGAAUCUGCUGGGAUGUGGAAAUGACACAAAACUAGAAACCUGCGCAAUUCUCCUUUUAGUUUGACCAUAUGAGAUGUGAGGAAGUGAAGAUUUCUGGCACACACCACACAAGCCUUUUUUAAGUUCACUGCAGAUACAAUUUGUUAAAUUAAAUCUUUACUGCAGUUAACAUCUAGAAUUAACAGUGAUCUUGUUGAUAUUUCCUGUGCAUGUUUCUGACCUUAAGAUUCCAUGAAAUGUAAUGCUGGUUAGAAAAUAAGCGGAUGUGUAUGGUCCUUGACAUGGAGACGUUAGAUAACUCAUCUAUAUGCUUUCGAUUCCUGUUUGACUAAACCCAUACCUGCAGAAUGAACUAGGGUUUUGCACAAGGCCACAGUGCUAUUAAUACACGUUUUAAACCAGAGGAAGUUAUCUUUCCUUCUCAUCCUCCAGGCCUCUGAAAAACUCAAGCUGUGGCACCUCUAAACCGAGCAGGCUUGGACAUGGGAACUUUGCCACUGUACUUUCAAGCACAUGUUUGGAGGCACCCUGCAGUACGCCUGAUCUACCGCAGCUGGAGAGCCUGCAUCUGCACAGUGUGUUGCUGAAGUCAGGCGUAGACAAGGCCCAUGACGCUUGCACAUCUGGAGGAGAAACGAAGGACAUCAGCUGGUGGUUGCUGAGAUCAGAAACCUACAUAGAAAGCCGGCGAAAGACAGUAAAUCGGAGCGUGAACGUACUUGUGAGGUAACAUCGUCAGACCUGGUUAGUCUAAAAGAGUCCAAGGGGAGCACCAGAUGGAACCCCAUUCAGUUCAAAGUGACCAUGACGAAGAGCAAUAAGCAGAGCUGGGUGUAGUCUUCCCCAUGCACUUACUUUAGUGUAUAAAAAUAAAGAUAUAUUUUUAUCAAAUACAGGGGAGACAUUUCUUUUAUGUAGGUUUCUAAACGUUUGGGUUGGUGUGAAAGCUUCUUCCCUGGAGCAUUUAUCAACUCAUAAAUCGGAGUAAAGAGGAGCAACAAGGUAAUAAUGACACCUCUACUCCUGAACCUGGGGGUGAAAAGACAAUGUAACUUGUCAGAAGUUACAGUGCAAGGUAAAAUAAAUAAAAAUUCAAAACAUAUAUGGUCAAAGGUUUCAAUGACAGAUCACUUCAUAUCAUUGCAACAAGAUAUCUGGAAAAACCUGUGUAUAUCUUCUAAUAUUUCUGUAUUUUAUGUAUCGCAUGGACACACAAAUACAUACAAAAAUG